UUGUGUAUUCUCCUCCAUUGUCUGACCUGAAUACUUUGAUCUUAACAUUGUACUGGUUAGUUACAUAGUUCUGAAAGUUCAUGAAAGCAUCUAGGACCAUAUCUUUAGUUUGAAUCAUAGUCAGCCAGGUAUAUUUCGAUUUUUGGUCUAUAAAAGUGACAAAGUAUCUAUGAUUCUCCCUAGAUAUGCAUGGUGCAGUCCAGACAUCAGAAUGUAUAAGAUCAAAGCAGUUUUCAUAGAUAGUAGAUGACUUAGGAAAGACAGUCUUGCAAUGUUUGCCAAGAAUACAUGCUUCACAGCCAUCAUUUUUAAAGGAAACAUCAGGUAGCAAUACGUUCAGUGCACGGGAAUGAGGAUGGCCUAGUCUAGCAUGCCAUAAUACAUCAUAAUCUAAAACAUGAAUUGAACUAAAAGCUGAAGAUAAAUUUGAAACAAUCUUGAUGUCUUCAAGUAGGUAUAGAUCCUCCUUGGUAACACCUUUUCCAAUCAACUUAUGAGUCUCAAUAUCUUGAAACACAACCUCAUUAGGACUGAAGAUCACAUUACAGUUUAAAUCAGUAGUAGCUCUCUUGAAAGAUAAUAAAUUUGAAGCAAAUGUAGGCAUAUAAAAAGCUUUUGAGGCUUUAUCAAACAGUUUAACAGUUCAUACACCUUUAAUUGGUAUUUUAUCUCCAUUUGUAAUCAUGACAUUUUCUAGUACAUUUUCUAUGUUACUAAUCAAUCUAGCAUCACUAAUCAUGUGGUGGGAAGCUCCUGAGUCUAUAACUAGAGGCUUAACACUAUCACAGAUUUAUGAGAUGCAUUAAGAGUAGUAAUAAGAGUACUAGGUAAAUGAUAUGAAGGCUGCAAUGUCAGAUUUGUUGAUAGCCUCAUCCUGGCCAGUUCUCACGGCUGUAUAGCCACUGAAUGACUGUGCCUUGCAAUCUCCAGCAGCACCAGCACGUUGAGAAGAAGAUGGCUCUCCUAUCUCACCAGAGUAAUUCGCCAUUGCAUCAGUGUAAGGAGCCAUGAACUUCUGAGGCUUGAGAUGUGGGUGAACUAUCCAGCACUUAUCCUUGCCAUGUCCCUUCUUCUUGCAGUGAUCACAUACCCACACCUUCUUCUCUUCUGGUUUAUAAAACCCCUUGUUAGCCACUCCCUCAGGUUUGUUCUCUGCUCCUUCAGCCUGAUUUGCUAUAACCAGCUCGCCUUUCUUGCCAAAGAGACCCACGGAGCCUUGCUCCUUUUCUAUCUCAGCACAUACCUCAUCUAGAGAGGGCAGCAACUUGUUUCUUAAGAUGUGCUUGAUGAGAUCACUGUAUCCGGGGUGGAGAGUAAACAGCAAAGCAAAGACUUUAUCUUGUUCUCUCCUUUCAUUGAGUACAUCCGGAUCUACAGUUCCUGGCCUAAGCAUUUCAAGUUCAGACCACAAGGAUCUAAACUUCCCAAAGUGCUUAUCAAAGUCAUUGUCCUCUUGACUGAGAGUAUUGAUGGCUCUCUUAACCUCAAACACCUUGCUGAUGUUAGCCUGGUUGCCAUACACCUUCUUGAGAGUAUCCCACAGCUCCUUGGAGGUUUCACAGUAUGCAUAAGCCUCUUGGAGUGGAGCUGCAAGGCUGUUCUGGAUGAUAGACAGUACCAUUAGAUCCUCUUGACCUUUCUUCUUAUCUCCAGCAUCCGCAAUCACCACUUCUUUGCCAUCCUCUCCUAGGAUAGAUUUCUUGGUGUUGCGGCCUUCUUCAACAAUCUCCCAAAAGCCUAUGCCUCCAAGAGCUGUUUUAGCAAGUCUAGCCCAUACUAGAUAGUUGGGGCCCUUUAGUGUAACUGGUAUUACCACCAUUUUUGGGUUCUCCACUAGUCCAUCAAGAACAGAUUGAGAACAACUGAAGAACAGUGUAAAGAAGUGUUUUGAAAAGAUGAAAAAUCAGAGUAAUAAACUAGAGAUUUUGCGGAAAUGAUGUGAAAUGAUAAGAGAAUAAAACACAUAAAUAGGUUUCAGGAGCUUAGUGCUCUGAUACCAUGAGAGUUUAUGAGAUUAUUGAGACUUUAUGUGAAGAACAUAGAGAAAACAGAGAGAGAUUUACGGAUGGAAGCAAAGAAGUGAGGAACUGAAUCCUUAAUUAAUUUAGUGUCUGGUUACAUUCUUAAUACAGACUACAAGUGGCCAUGCCAUGACAAACUAGAAACUCUAAACAAUGGAAGCAAGUAAGACAAACUUGCUUGGACAUAAGGGAUGAUAGUGACAUCUCGCCAAUCUCUCUCAUCCUUAACAUAACAUGUGAUCUCUCUUUGUUCCCUAGUUCCAACGGUCUCCUCCUUUUAUAUUAAACAUCUCCAUAGAGUUAGGACACUCCCACACGUGAUCUGUGUCCAUGUUUCUCCAUUACUUGCCUUGAUACUCAAGCUAGGUUACAAGAGAGCCAUCCGUACACUUUGUACGGAUCAAGCCACUUAUGUCCACAACCAGCAUGCUUCUCUUGAUCUCUUCUUCUUGUUUAUACUCUGAAUGUAUUCAUAUCAACAUCAUAGACCCCAAAGUCUAUCAUGAUCUAGUGAGAGUUGUCAAGCCACAGACGUACUACAUGGAGAUCGGAGAUGAUCCAGGAUUGAUAGUAGUAUGUUACUCCGAUCCUGGAGCCGAACUUAAGUCGGAUAAUGGAGCAUUGAUCGACACUGAAACUUAGCCGUCGUUUGAUUGUUGAUUUGAAGCGACGAUCGAUAGAGCUAUGGAAGAACCGAUCGACAGUGACCUGCGAUUGAGAUAAAUGAUUUUCUAGAGGAUAGAUCAACAGUUGGGAGAAUGAUUACUACCAACCGAGCUUCGCAUUUCACACUGCUAUCCCUUCCAAAAGGAAGAUCCAUGUCAUGCAGCCGGAUGAGUAUGGAGUAUGCAGAGAUGAAGAUGGCAACGCACAUGCAUUGGAUGGGAGGAUCAUGAAUGUUUCUAAGGCAGAUAUAUAAGCAAUAUUGGAGAUGGAUAAUAAAUUAGGAGGGAAGUAUCUUAGUCUACCACACUAUGAGGGACAUUUUAAGAUGCCUGGAAUCAACCCCAUACCUACACCUUCACCAGAAGAUGACAGAUACACUAGAGAUGGAGUCAUGGAUAUUAUGGACAAAGCCAUGUUUGACCAGGAAAAGAUGUACAACAAGAUGCAACAAACAAUGGACAGACUCCUUCACCCUCUCCAAAACAGCAUUGCUUGGAUCAGCAAAACAAUGGAGGAGCUGCAACAAAAAUUAGAUUAUACUGAAAGGAUUAUUCAGAGGCAGCAAGAUCACAUAACCAAAGGCGAAGAAGCAAUAAAAAACUUUGAUGGCACCUGGUUCGAGAAUGUCCGAAGAAUAUGUAGACACUUGUUUCCCAAAAAGUAGUCACCUACCUCCAUACUAACCAAACCACCUCAAAAAAUCAAGCUAAAUGACUAUAACAAAGCGCUUAAUGGGAGGCGACCCAAUGGUAAGUUUUAUUUACGUUUUAAUUAGCAGUUUUACUUAUUUUUGUGUUUACUUUGUUUCAGAAAAUAUAAAAAAAAAGAAAGAUCCGAGGAGACGAUUGCUCUAAGCAUCAACCGGUGAGACACAGUCGAUAUCGAUCAACAGUACAU